rnacentral:rRNA from 1 species
GUCCACGCCGUAAACGAUGGAUGCUAGCCGUCGGCAAGCUUGCUUGUCGGUGGCGCAGCUAACGCAUUAAGCAUCCCGCCUGGGGAGUACGGCCGCAAGGUUAAAACUCAAAGGAAUUGACGGGGGCCCCGCACAAGCGGUGGAGCAUGUGGUUUAAUUCGACGCAACGCGAAGAACCUUACCAAGCCUUGACAUGUCCGGACGACCUUUGGAAACGGAGGUCUCCCAGCAAUGGGUCGGAACACAGGUGCUGCAUGGCUGUCGU